AGCGAACGCUGGCGGCAGGCCUAACACAUGCAAGUCGAACGAACUCUUCGGAGUUAGUGGCGGACGGGUGAGUAACACGUGGGAACGUGCCUUUUGGUUCGGAAUAACUCAGGGAAACUUGUGCUAAUACCGAAUGUGCCCUUCGGGGGAAAGAUUUAUCGCCAUUAGAGCGGCCCGCGUCUGAUUAGCUAGUUGGUGAGGUAACGGCUCACCAAGGCGACGAUCAGUAGCUGGUCUGAGAGGAUGACCAGCCACACUGGAACUGAGACACGGCCCAGACUCCUACGGGAGGCAGCAGUGGGGAAUCUUGCGCAAUGGGCGAAAGCCUGACGCAGCCAUGCCGCGUGAAUGAUGAAGGUCUUAGGAUUGUAAAAUUCUUUCACCGGGGACGAUAAUGACGGUAACCGGAGAAGAAGCCCCGGCUAACUUCGUG
rnacentral:rRNA from 1 species